CAGGCCCCGGGGCGCCGCGUCGGCUGCUGCCGUGAGAACGCCUUGUGCCGCGGAGGUCCCCGACGCGCGGCCCCCGACACGUUCCCUGCUCGGUCCCUCCGAGCCUCAGCCUUCUCACCCUAAAAUGGGGGUGCCGGGAGCCUCCGCAGAGGGCUGUGGACCCGCUCCGGGGAGCGCAGGUGUUGGGGCCGAGUGGUAGCGGCUUUUCCCUUUCGUGGCGGUGACUACGUUUAAGGGAAGUUCACCCUAGUCAGGCGUGGAUGUGUCAUCUCCCGCCAGGGCGGCGGGGCGCAGGCGGGGGCCUGGCCUCUUCCUGGGGGGGAGGGGCGCGCGGGGAAGAGGAGGGCGUCCUUCCUCCCCGCAGGGGGCGGGCUGAGGGGGCUCGCGUCGCCCGAGUGACAGCCGAGCAGCAGCAUCCUCGGGGCUCCCCUUCGGCGGUGGCUGGCGUUAUGGAGUGCACAGCUGUGUCCACUGCAGGAGGGCAGCCCCGCGAACCUUCAUGCUUCCCGGGGACCCCCACCCGCAGGCGCCCUGGAGGUCUCAGCGGAGGACCCCGGUGCAACCCUGCAGAACUCAGGCCUCGGGGGACCCCGGGCGCCGCUGUGAGUCCUGAGACCCCGGCCCAGGCCGCACCCUGUGUGCAGCUUGCAUGCGGCUUCGGGGGACCAGGGAUCUGGGGUGCGGUAGGGGCCCCGCUCCAGGACGGGACCGGCUGGCGCCCCCGGCUUGCUGCGCGGGGCCCGGGAGGGCGGGGGCGGGGCGCAGCGAAGCCUGAUUCUGCGCCCUGGAACAUUCUGGUAAUUACAAUGAAAUGAAAGGAAGAAGCCAGGCCAGGUUCCCCUUCGGUCCUGCGGGUGCCGGGCCGCGCGCUGCCCCCACUCCCCACCCCGGGCGCGGAAGGGAAAUUCCCGCGCUCUGACGUCAUCUAGAGGUCGGACUCGGGGAAGCUGCGCGGCCACACCCCUGCCUGCCGGCUACCAGCUUCCCUGCCCUGCCGCUGGCCCUGCCGCUGCGCACUGCGCGCGGUUUGUCCCCAGAGCGGAGAAGGAGCAGGGGACGGAGGCUCUGCAGGAAGUGGCCCGGCCCUGGGCACCGCUUCUGGGGAUCUAGGCGAGGGUGAAGCGGCACCACGGCUGGCCUCAGCCGGGCCCCGGGAGCUGCAGGUCUGUUCCUGUGCCAUCCUGUUGCAGCCUCUGUCGGCGCAUUUGCCUGGUAUUAACGGAAGCACUGGACACUGCUCUGUGCCUGCUCCUCCAGCGUUGACAAUGGUCAUUUCCACCUAACCGACCCCGAGCCUUGGAAAUGAUGCAAAAGUUAGGGCGGGCAGUGUGGUCCAGUGAGCUAACUUGCCACUUAAGGCUCCUGCGUCCCAUAUCCGAGUGGCUGCUCCACCUCCCAUCCUGCUCCCAGCCAACGCCCGGGCAGGCAGCAAAUGAUGACCCAAGUGCUUGGGCCCCGCCACCCACGUGGGAGACAAGGACGGAGUUCCAGGCUCCUGGCUGUGGCCUGGCUGGGAAUGAAGCAGCUAACAGAACUGCUCGCGCUCGCUCUCUCUGCCUUUCAAGUAAAUGAAAAUAAAAAAAUUUAGAGAAAACAAGUUAGGAGCCAAUUCGCAGGCAGUGGAGAAUUUUUAACAAUCUUCUUAAAGCUAUGAUUCCACCAUUUUGCAUCAGAGAAAGGAUUCUGCUGAGGAGGGAGGGGGGUCUCGGUCACGGAGCGUGGGUGGGGGGCUUCGCUCUGUCCAGUGCCAUGUUCGGGUGAGGAAUCACGGCCAGGGUCAGCCCCGAUGUGCAAAGACAGCAGGCGGUCGGAGUGAUCUUAGGGGAAACACCCAGCCCACGGUCCUCCAAGCUUGUGCGGGGCGGACCUCAUGGGCGUGGAUCGUCAGGCGGGGAGGCUGUGGGCUGCGGGAGCCCCUGGGAGCCAUGGCCGCCUUGAGCCUCAGUUGCCUGCUGGGUGCCCAGCGAGUCCCCACGUGAGUGGUCACCUCGUGAGGACUGAGGCUUGGCCACCCUGGGCCCGUUCUGCAGGAAUGCUCACCGAUGGGCCCUGGUGACGGCUCUGGGCAGCAGGCGUCCCCGUGUCCUCACUGUGUCUUGGGGCCACGGCACCUAGGGCAUUGUCUCAGCUCAGCCUUGUCUUCCAGAGAAUUGCCUCCCGACGGCAGGGGACGUGGCUGUCAGCUGAUCUCAGCGUCCACAGUCAACGGCAGAAUGUGCUGAGCCCCCUGGCCGCGUGCAGAGCCCCUGGCCGCGUGCAGAGCCCUCUGGCCAUGCGCAGAGGCCCUGGCCGUGUGCCGAGCCCCCUGGCUGUGUGCAGAGCCCCUGGCCGCGUGAAGAGCCCCCUGGCUGUGUCCUCAGGCCAACACAGUCGAGCUGCUGGAGAACAGCGUGGGGAAUCCAGAUCCUCCCAGAUGGUCCCGGGUGCACCAGCAGAGCUGAGCAGCUGAGGCCACUUCCGCCUGAGCACUCCCAGGUCUGGGCCCCCACCUGGCUUUAUCCUUGGCGACCCACCCUCACCCCCAUCUCACCCCGGGCACUCCCAGCUGCCCCGCCCAGCCGCUGUCUGUCCCUGUUUGUCCGCUGUCUGCCCCUGUGCGUACUGCUUCAGCGGCCUGGGCUGUGUUCUCCCUUGGCGUCCGUGGCUCUGUGUCCUGGCCAGGUGUCUCCCAGGUCCCACCCUCAGAGACCCGCAGCAGACUGCCAGCUCGCGCCCCAGGACCACCCCAGACCACGUCACCGUCAACAGGGCGUCCUCCUCGGACUGGCCCCGGCUCCCUCCCGGGAGUCCCUGCCUCGCUCAGGGCCCCGAGUUCCAACAGACUCUUGCCGGGGGCUCCGGAGACUGCUGCGAACCACCCGGAGCCGCGCACUUCCCCAAGGCUCGCGGCCCCCACGCCGGUGCCCACCACGGUCCUGACGGUCUGCUGGCCUCUGGCCACACUCGCCCAGGCCCAGUGUGCACACAGCAGCCAAGCCUGCCGGUGGCUGCCCGAGUGUCCCCGGGCAAGGACCGCACCUCAGGCCCGUGGACAAGGCCGUGCCUCACCCUGGCCUUCCCACGCCUGCCACGAGGCGGCCUCCGCCCACCCUCCCUCCCUCGAGGCUGUCCCGCCCCACCCAGCCCAGGCCCCGACACGGGCCCAGGGCCGCCCUCGAGUGUUUGUGUAGGAUAUCAGCCCCCGGCGGCUCCUGGCCGUGCCCGGCUGACGCAGACUGGCACCCCUUCGGCACCUAAUAAAUAAUGAGCCACCCACCAGACGGCAGACCGGGCCUGCGCUUCUGCCCGCGCCCUCAGUCCACGCACCACGUGGUGCCCACGCCCGGGCUCCUCCCUGGGACGCCCCGCGCCCCCUCAGGCCGUGCCCCACCUAAGGGUCUCCGGCGGGACUGGGCCAGGCCGGCCGCCGCCCCCCCGCCCCAGCGUCUCCCUCGGCGCCGGCUGGCUGGGGCUGCCUGGCUCCGCUUUGUCUUCCUCUGCCUCCUGCCGCCCCAGGAACUGCACGUAUGGCAAAAGCGACGCUGUAACUGCCCGGAGACAAACCUGGAGGGAUGGAGUCCGCUCAGGGCCGCGUGAGCAACGCCACGGCCACUUCCCGUUCCCUGCCUUUUCUCCGGGCGGGUCUGGGCCCGUGACGUCCGUUCUCACGCUGGCGGCCGCGGCCACGGCCACGGUGCUGUGGGGCCGCGUGGCCGGCUCCCUUGUUCCAUGCAUUUGCCCUUUAGUGGCUCGGGGACGUUCUCCGAAGCAGCGGCAAAGCUGUAGCAGCAGGGAGUGGGCGAGGGACCUGGCACAGCCUCCGGGAGCCACCGGCAUCGCCGCCGAAAGGUGAAAACACGCGGGUGCCCGGCCCCGUGGGCUCAGACAGCGGGCGUGGGGGGCAGGGCGGGCAGGGCGAGGCGUUCAGGAG